GUAUACAUUUUAUUAUUUCUCCACAAGAUCGUGAUGAUGGUGUCAAGAUGUGUUUCUGCUGCGAUGGAGGCCUGCGAUGCUGGAAGGCUGAAGAUUAUCCCUGAGUGGAGCAUGCUAAAUGGUGUGAAGAUGGGCUCCAGGGGAAGGGACAAGAAUUUUUGUUCACCAACUUCAGGCUUGUUUUCCUUGGUUGUUCGAGCAGAGUGCAGUCUAGAAAAGCACACUGUUCAGAGAAACAUCCAGACCAAUGGAGAGAACUGCUGAAUAGUCCAGAUCAGGAGCUGAGCUGCUGAGUGUUGAAUACCAGAACAUGGAAGAGAGGUGAUGGUUGUCCAUGAAAAUAAACAUCUUUACCACUGCAGCACACUUUCUCUUACUGCAAAUUUUAUUGGUCUUUGUAUAUGUGACUAUGUAUUUAACUAUUCAAUUCAAUCAACAAUUUAAUUAAGAUUUUCUGCAAAAUGCAAUAGCUUACAACAUUUAUCUGAUUUGUUCUGUUUACUGCCUUCACAAUGACACUUACAAUGGAUAAGGAUAAUUUAAUAGCAUUUAAUUAAGCCAUGUAAUAACAUAAAUAAUAAAAAAUAAAAAAAUAGUCUGUUUAAUAUACAACACGACUUAUCUUCAUUGUUCGUUUGUUGUUGUAGCGGCAACCUACGAACAGUCGCUACUUUCAAAUUAAAAGCCCCCCCGCCAAGAACCCAGUUCUAAACUCAAAUGGGGUGCAAUGUAAAGCUCUUAUUUUGAAGACAAAUUCACUGUCAUUCUGACAGAGAAUGCAACGUGCUUACUGAUCUUCCUGAACACAUCUGCUGGAUGGAAACUGAAAAUGAGUUGUAGAGAUUUUAGAAAAACUGUUUAUCGAAUUCAAGGCUCCCCUCCAUGUCCCGUCCAUACCCCCCGCCCACAAAUAUUUUCUCAUCGGAUCUACACGAUUCACUUAGGUCAACUAUUCUGGUUUCAAAACUGCAAAUUUCGGCGAAAGGCAAGUGAUUUUCAUGCCUGCAUAGUUCAAGGCACCAAAGCUUCGCUAUCUUAGCCAAAUUUCUAUUGUAAAGUGAACACAACUCAUCACUCUCCUGCUGCGGCUUCCUGUUGGGGGGAAGCCCUGCAAAUCGAUCACCGAGUGCAGUA